UCUGCUGACCUUCAGCAGCUGCAGCUCCAGCCCUGGGCCUCUGGAGAGCUCCGGGGAUGCACCUCUGCACUGAUGUGUCCGUCUCUGAUCCUCCUGCCUUGAGCUUAUCCCAAGCAGAGACUGCCGACUGACCUACCCAGCUGUGGGGGUUUUGUGGCAAGCCAAUGGAAACCUUUUCCCCAGCACAUACAAAUAUGCUUUGCAAGGCAAAAAUAAGCAGUGACGCAAACAUCACACUCCAUUUUAUUUUCCUUUGCUUCAGGAUAACAGGAAGGGGCAAAAAAGGAUUGACACUUGAUCCCACCAAGGGCUUUUUCUAAGAUGCCUGCUGGGAACACUCACUGUAUGCUUCUCUUCAGGUAGUAGCUCUUUUGAUUUUUCUCUCUGCCUUGCAAGUCAUACUGAGGAGCCUGGAGAAGGACUUGCUGAUUGCUUACGAAAUCCAUUCUCCCUUGAGGAUCUAUUCUUUCCAUCUUGAUAAACUUUUAAUUCUUGCUUUCUAAUAACACUGAGUAACUGUGUUUUCCAAACCUGCCUUUAUGAGGGAUUUGUGAUUGAUGUUCAUCUGCGCUUGCAGGAGACCAGAAAAAGGACAUUCAGAGGACCUUCACUGUAAGAGAGAAAGUAGAAGAGCUGUUAUACCUGCCCCACUGCGUGUGCUGCUAAGCAGAUGCUACACACAGGUUUGGUUAUUUCUUAUUUUUUCCUCUCCCUUUGCUUUUUACUUUGAAACGUCUGCUUGAGUUCUCAGUGAAGAACAGCUGAAAGACUGUGCAAAUGGCUUAAGAAUUCAACAGGCCAUAAGGUAUUUGGAUUUAAUGUAGUGCCUGGGAGAGAGCGUUUUACACUCCCUUGCUAAACAAUCCCCCUUCUGUCACCGACUGAGGUUCCCGUCCUUUGUUCGCCAUGAUGUCAUAUUCCCAUUAACUUCCCAGUGGGCUGUGGAGCCUUCAAGGAAAGGACAAGAGGAAUGAAUGAGGCUUCAUUUCUUCUUUAAAUCCCCCAAGGUCCUGCUUAAAAAAGGAGCCUCGUGAGCCAUCGUCCUUUGUUUUGGUUGUGCUUCUUGGCUUUACUUUUUCAUGAUUUCC
rnacentral:lncRNA from 1 species